AUCGCUUCUCGGCCUUUUGGCUAAGAUCAAGUGUAGUAACUAGUUACACCUUCUGUUUGCAGUUCUGAAUUAAGUUCCAUGACCAAUU
ensembl:snRNA U2 U2 spliceosomal RNA